GUGCCAGCCGCGGCGGUAAGACGGAGGGUGCUAGCGUUGUUCGGAAUUACUGGGCGUAAAGGGCGCGUAGGCGGCCAUGUAAGUCGGGUGUGAAAGCCCGGGGCUCAACCCCGGAACGGCACCCGAGACUGUGUGGCUGGAGACCGGAAGAGGUGAGUGGAAUACCCAGUGUAGAGGUGAAAUUCGUAGAUAUUGGGUGGAACACCGGUGGCGAAAGCGGCUCACUGGUCCGGUUCUGACGCUGAGGCGCGAAAGCGUGGGGAGCAAACAGGAUUAGAUACCCUGGUAGUCCACGCCCUAAACGAUGCGAGCUGGAUGUCGGGGGCUUGCCCCUCGGUGUCGAAGCCAACGUGAUAAGCUCGCCGCCU
rnacentral:rRNA from 1 species